rnacentral:lncRNA from 1 species
UUCAGAACUCUGCAAAAACAGCUCCUGUCAAGGGCAUCCAUGACCAUCAUGCUGUCAAGGGCAAUGGCCUUUUCUCAGCAAGAACUGACAGUCAAUUAAUGAAAGUACAGGCAUUGAUUUAAGCAUCAGCAAUGGUGACUUUGGCUUCAACUCGUGGCUCAAUACUGAUGGGAAUAAUCAGUUCAGCCAUCUCAAAGAACUAUGCAAAUCAAUGAUUGCUUGUGGAUUCUCAUCUGGAAAGGAUCCCAUGUCUCAGAACCUUAAGCACAAGGAGUUUAUCUUCUAGCAGUUCUCAGAGUUUUGGUAGGCAUCUGGACAGGCCCUUUCACUUUGAGGAUCUUCUCUUUUGCGCCUCUGAUCAAGUCAGCCACACCUUCUCCAGGGGUUUUCCUUUGCGGCUGGAUAGCUUGACUUCAGUUCUGUGACUCCCCACCUCUGGCUCCAUGGGUGUCUUUCCGGUGUCUUUAAAGGCCAAGGCUUUGGCAAGGCUUCCUGGCCAACCUGUUCCUAGUCCAGAACGAGUUGCUCCUUGGGCUGUGAGUCAAGUGCAGGAGUGGCCAGCCCCGCUGCAGUGGUGGCUCACCUUCCUCAAAGAGUUUAAAGUUUAAAAGUUUCUUUUAAUCAUCAUGAAAUAAAAGUGUGAAGUGAUACAAAGACAUUGUGUCAGUACCUUUUGUUGUUGCAUAUAUACUUGUAUGUUGCUUAAUGAUAGGGAUACGAAGCUUGCAAUGAUAAUUUUCCUGAAGUACAUAAGAGUAUUCUGUCAAAACGUGGCUAGGAAGAUAGGCUGCAUGUGCAAGCGUGGGAACCACCCCCUUAAAUGGAAUGCGAUGUUGCUCAGCAAGGAAGAACUCCCGAGACAUCCUUCCACCGUCGUGCCAAUGGAGGGCACGGCGCCGGCUUCCUUCCUGAGUCACUCACUGUUUACGGGCAGCCGCUGGCUUCCAGGCCGCGUCCCCUCCAGUAAAAAGGGGGCGUGCUUGGUAGAGAUCCUUGAGACCUUUGAUGGCAGGAUAUGAAACAAGGCCAGGCCCCGAAACAAGGCCAGGCCCCAUUAUAGGGCAAUUACCCUUCAGGCUGAUUGGUGCAGAGACGCUGUAAACGCACCUUUGCGGAACACAGACGACACAGGAAAGGCGUUUGGCAGUAAUACUACGACACCGAGGGGCCCGGGAAGCCCGCGGAAACGCAGGAGGCGGGCAGGAGAGGCAGGGCUACGCACAUCCCACCCUCGGAGCCCUGUCCUAGCUUAGGCUGAGACAACUGGGAGGGGCUGGCUUCUUUGUUCCCCUCUUUCCCCGCAACCUGCCAGAGGGAACUGGAGAGAGGGGUCCUUCUAGCUUUAGGCACACUUAAAGCAGCCUGCCAGGAAGGAAAUGCGGGGGCUCCACCUUAGAGGCGGUCGAGGCCAGCGUGAAAGCACAGGGUGGCGACCACUUCCCCCACCGCCCACCCCGGUUCUCAUCCCCGGGCUACCCUCCUGCCUCCUGCCUCCUGCCCAGAGCCCAGACUACAUGCAACGCCGUGCGCUAGAUCCUGGAGAUGCCACGAUGAAGGUGGGAGGUGACAUUUUAAAAUAUCCCUCAAUUCCAG